AAGGUGGCUGAAUGGUUUAAAGCAUUGGUCUGCAACACCAACAUUUAUGAGUUCGAAUCUCAUCCUU
rnacentral:tRNA from 1 species